rnacentral:rRNA from 1 species
GUCCAAGGCCAUACCAUGCUGAAUGCACCCAAUCUCACCUGAUCUUGGAAGCUAAGGAGGGUUGGGCCUGGUUAGUACUUGGAUGGGAGAUAUUGCCAAGUUUUACC